AAACUCCCGGGCGCAAUGAAAGUGAAGGCGGACUCGCGCCGCCGAGGUGAGAACCCCUCCUUCGGGAGGGGUGCAUCAUCGACCGACCUAUUCUACUCUUAGGAAGGUUUGAGUAAGAGCGCACCUGUUGGGACCCGAAAGAUGGUGAACUAUGCCUGAAUAGGGUGAAGCCAGAGGAAACUCUGGUGGAGGCUCGUAGCGAUUCUGACGUGCAAAUCGAUCGUCAAAUUUGGGUAUAGGGGCGAAAGACUAAUCGAACCAUCUAGUAGCUGGUUCCCUCCGAAGUUUCCCUCAGGAUAGCUGGAACUCUGACGCAGUUUUAUCAGGUAAAGCGAAUGAUUAGAGGUCUUGGGAUUAAAACGAUCUUAACCUAUUCUCAAACUUUAAAUUGGUAAGAAGUCCGACUUGCUUGACUGAAGCCGGGCCUUCGAAUGCGAGUUCCUAGUGGGCCAUUUUUGGUAAGCAGAACUGGCGAUGCGGGAUGAACCGAACGCGCGGUUAAGGUGCCCAAGUCGACGCUCAUCAGACCCCACAAAAGGUGUUGGUUGCUACAGACAGCAGGACGGUGGCCAUGGAAGUCGGAAUCCGCUAAGGAGUGUGUAACAACUCACCUGCCGAAGCAACUAGCCCUGAAAAUGGAUGGCGCUCAAGCGUCGCACCUAUACCGUGCCGUCGGGGCAAAUGCCAAGCCCCGACGAGUAGGAGGGCGCGGCGGUCGUGACGCAGCCUCUGGCGCGAGCCUGGGUGAAACGGCCGCUGGUGCAGAUCUUGGUGGUAGUAGCAAAUAUUCAAAUGAGAGCUUUGAAGACCGAAGUGGAGAAAGGUUCCAUGUGAACAGCAGUUGGACAUGGGUUAGUCGAUCCUAAGAGAUAGGGAAAUUCCGUUUUCAAGUGCCCAAUCGCGGGCCGCCUAUCGAAAGGGAAUCGGGUUAAUAUUCCCGAACCGGAACACGGAUAUCGCCACUUCCAGUGGCGGAUGCGGUAACGCAAACGAACCCGUUGUCGCUGACGCGAGCUCUGGGGAGCGUUCUCUUUUCUUCUUAACGGACUUUCACCCUGAAAUCAGCUUGCCUGGAGAUAGGGUUUGAUGUCCGGUAAAGCACCACACUUCUUGUGGUGUCCGGUGCGCUCGCGACGGCCCUUGAAAAAACGGGGGAGACAGUGAUUUUCGUGUCCGGUCGUACUCAUAACCGCAGCAGGUCUCCAAGGUGAGCAGCCUCUGGUUGAUAGAACAA
rnacentral:rRNA from 1 species